AAGAAUUUCUUCCUGUAUGGAUAUAAAUUAAUUUUUCCUUAUUUAAAUUUAAAUUGUUAUUCUAAUCUACACUUCUGGAGAUGAAUAAUAAUCCAAAUGUGUUUGAGAGGUACUGGAUGGCAUCCUGUAUUUUGCUGAAGUCAUUAAUUACUAAAUAUAAUUGCAAUUUCAAGUUUAAAAAUUUUAUUCUCAGUUAAUUGGAAGAGUAUUUUUAACUGGAAAAUUAAAUACAUUGGCUAUGUUACCUUAUCUUUGUUUUCUGUUUCUGAAUGUUUUAUGUCAUGUGCAGAUAAUGAGGCUUGUAAAAGGUAGACUUUUUGAGAGAUAUUUGGCUUUUCUAUAAACUAAUGCAAUCUUAAGUUUGAAAUAUUUCCAGAGACGUGAGAUAGUGAUGUCUAUUGCCUUACUGAACAAUAAAUCCAAAUAGUAAAACUAGUUUUCACGUUUGCAACUGCAUCAUUUACACCGUUAAUAGUUUUAUUUUGAAAUAUGUGAGUUAAUAGCUCUUUUUCUGUUCCCUGUGGAAAUUCUGAAGAUGAUGCUGGCUGGGUUUUGAUCAACCAGAUCACAUCUGUAUGUGUUCCAGAAAUUUCUGAAAGAUUAUUUCCAAUGAACAGCACUCUUCUGUUUUCCUCAGAACUAAUCCCAGUUUCUCAAACUUUUAAGAGUUUUUUUUCCUCUUAAUAUUUUGCUGAGUUUUUAUUUUUUUAAGUAAUUAAAUGCUUGGACUCAAACGGAUUGAAACUUGUGCAGAUAAAUUUCUCUUGGAGAAGAGAACAGAAGCCACUCUUGUCCUGUCCCUCUCUCUCCCCAGGCUCCCUGUGUUGAGCUCACUUCCCCUGAGCUCUGGUCACGCCAUGCAGACGGACUUUGAAGUGGAUCUCCAUGAAGGAGCCAGGACUGUGCACCAUCUGGGGUCAAGAGGUGCUGAUAUCUGAACUCUCCAUCUAAAUUGUUUUCAGCCAUCUUGCCUUACAUGGGGACCCCAAUCCACGUUUUUUAAUCAAAUAUUCUCCUCCCACAUUUACACAUAACAUGUACUUGGUAAGUCUCCUGACCAGCUGAAGUGAUUUCUCUUGAAGUUGACAGGAAACUUAUUGGUUGGAGGCUCCCAUGCUCCCCAAGAGAAGCUGAUUAUAAGUUGGUGUCUGAGUAAACCAAGGUCUAGCCUCCACCUUGUUGGCUUUCCUUUAUUGGCCGGGAAUUAGCUCUCAUAAGAGUUGAGGGCUGAAAACACUGAGAGUGCAUUUUAGUAUAACUUCGUCUAUUUAUAUGUUUUAUUAAUAUUGUGAUAAUUAAUAAAAGAAAACCUCAUUUAAAGUGGAGGCAGGAGGCCAGAAGAGGAAGCUGCCAUGCAACUUGAGGUCAAUUAUAGGAAAGAUAGUCAAUUACAGACCCCAACAGAAAGAACUCAUCAACAGGAAGAUAGACAGUUACAGACCCCAACAGAAGACUCAACAGGAAAGAAUUAUUAAUUAUGGGAAGAAAUGUACAUUGCAUCCCAAACAGAAAUCGACUACCCCAGCAACUGGGCCCAUGAGAAACUGUCACCCUGAACUCUUGGUUUUUUCCAAUGGACUUUCAUUCAAAACAAUCCUUCCCAAUUUCCGCCUUUUUCUCUAUAAAAUAACAUUUCUCUCUCUUAUUUAUUGGAUUUCCCUAUGGUUUGAUGCAGCCUGCACAUUCUGAAUUAUAAUUCUUUGUGUAUUCCUGAAUGAACUUGUUUUGCUGGUAAAACAACGAGCUGUUUUAUUUUUAAGGUUGACAUAUAUGGCAUCUGAAGUGGGAUCCGAAGGAGGUAACUCCCGAAAGUUGGAACCCAUGGAAGCUAGCAAGGUAUAAUUUGCAAGACUGUCUUCUAAAGACUCAUGUUGCAUGAGGACAAAGCUCAGAAGAGGAAAGAAAAGGAGUCAGGAAUGGCUCUUUCUCAGGAUGCUGAAAUACAUGUGAAUGAAAAUAAUAAUGAAAAAAAUCUUCCAAAAAAUGUCAUUGAGACGAAUCUUCUAAUUUCAGCGAUGGUUGACAUUCCAGGAUGUGGCCAUGGAAUUCUCUCGUGAGGAGUGGGAAUGCCUG